CGAUAUUAGUAUGUGUCAUCUAAUUAUUUAUAUAUACCAAUUAAUGAUUCUGGAUAAAAUUGAAGUGAGAUGUCAACAUGAUUCUGAUCUAAACUAUUUUUUUUUCCAACAUUAGCCACGGAGGGCAUGAAUUUUUGUUUUUUCCUUGGAUUGAUGCCUCAAAAUAGGUGUCGGUGGAUCGAAUAGUUGCUGAAGAGUUUAAAAAUAUCAUAUCGAAAACUUAACAAAAUAAAAUAUAAUAAUAAGUGAGUGAUUCCAAGGACGGACCAUAGGCAUGGCUAACCUGGGUUAUAGUCCAAGUGGCUUUUUUUUUCC
rnacentral:lncRNA from 1 species